rnacentral:rRNA from 1 species
UCCGUAGGGUGCAAGCGUUGUCCGGAAUUAUUGGGGGUAAAGAGCUCGUAGGCGGUCUGUCACGUCGGCUGUGAAAACCCGGAGCUCAACUCCGGGCCUGCAGUCGAUACGGGCAAACUGGAGUGUUGCAGGGGAGACUGGAAUUCCUGGUGUAGCGGUGAAAUGCGCAGAUAUCAGGAGGAACACCGGUGGCGAAGGCGGGUCUCUGGGCAACAACUGACGCUGAGGAGCGAAAGCGUGGGGAGCGAACAGG